UACGUAGGGUGCGAGCGUUGUCCGGAAUUACUGGGCGUAAAGAGCUCGUAGGUGGUUUGUCGCGUUGUUCGUGAAAACCUGAGGCUUAACCUUGGGCGUGCGGGCGAUACGGGCAGACUGGAGUACUGCAGGGGAGACUGGAAUUCCUGGUGUAGCGGUGGAAUGCGCAGAUAUCAGGAAGAACACCAAUGGCGAAAGCAGCUCUCUGGGACGUACUGACGCUGAGACGCGAAAGCGUGGGGAGCGAACAGG
rnacentral:rRNA from 1 species